rnacentral:lncRNA from 1 species
CGAUAACUUAUUAAGAUGCCUGUGUCUUUGACUGAAAGUUAAUAAUCAUAUUUGAUUGGUUAGCGAGAUUAAGGGAAUCCAGUCGAGAGAAAUAUCAGUCAUUUAAUAAAUACAGGACGGUUCGUAUUAUAACUCAGUACACAUUACAGCAGUGAAUAUGCACACACGAAAUGUUUAUGAUAUAUUAUUUAAAUGGUCAAAUAUGAGGGGUUCAUGAAUAAUUAUUUGAAGAUAGAUUAACGAGGUGGCAAAGACAUGUUUUGAAACUCUGUAGUGGUGUGUUUUUUGCUUCUUCACCCCGCCCACUCCGGAAAAAUCAGCCGUUGUUAUUUGAUUUUUUUAAGAUUAAUCCCAGCAGGACAUUGCUGAGGACUCGAGUAAGUAUUAUUGGGCCUGGAAUCAGAGGAAUCCAGCGGACAGACAGGUUUGGUAGCAUAUAAAUAAGUACGUUCUAGAGUUAGUUGAUGCACGGCACGAUAGCCAGUUCCUCGAUGUACAGUUGAAGUCGGAGGUUUACAUACGUCUUAGCCAAAUACAUUUAAACUCAGUUUUUCACAAUGCCUGACAUUUAUUCCUAGUAAAAAUUCCCUGUCUUGGGUUAGAUAGAUUUCAGCUUUCUUUCAUCACAUUCCCAGUGGGUCAGAAGUUUACAUACACUCAAUUAGUAUUUGGUAGCAUUGCCUUUAAAUUGUUUAACUUGGGUCAAACGUGUCGGGUAGCCUUCCAUAAGCUUCCCACAAUAAAUUGGGUGAAUUUUGGCCCAUUCCUCCUGACAGAGCUGGUGUAACUGAGUCAGGUUUGUAGGCCUCCUUGCUUGCACACGCUUUUUCAGUUCUGCCCACAUAUUUUCUGUGGGAUUGAGGUCAGGGCUUUGUGAUGGCCACUCCAAUACCUUGACUUUGUUGUCCAUUUUGCCACAACUUUGGAAGUAUGCUUGGGGUCAUUGUCCAUUUGGAAGACCCAUUUGCGACCAAGCUUUAACUUCCUGACUGAUGUCUUGAGAUGUUGCUUGAAUAUAUCUACAACACUUUCCUGCCUCAUGAUGCCAUCUAUUUUGUGAAGUGCACCAGUCCCUCCAGCAGCAAAGCACCCCCACAACAUGAUGCUGCCACCCCCAUGCCUCACGGUUGGGAUGGUGUUCUUCGGCUUGCAAGCCUCCCCCUUUUUCCUCCAAACAUAAUGAUGGACAUUAUCGCCGAACAGUUCUAUUUUUAUUUCAUCAGACCAGAGGACAUUUCUCCAAAAAGUACAAUCUUUGUCCCCAUGUGCAAUUGCAAACCGUAGUCUGGCUUUUUUUAUGGCGGUUUUGGAGCAUUGGCUUCUUCCUUGCUGAGCGGCCUUUUAGGUUAUGUGGAUAUAGGACUCGUUUUACUGUGGAUAUAGAUACCUUUGUACCUGUUUCCUCCAGCAUCUUCAUAACCUCCUUUGCAUCUUCAUAAGGUCCUUUGCUGUUGUUCUGGGAUUGAUUUGUACUUUUCGCACCAGAGUACAUUCAUCUCUAGGAGACAGAAUACAUCUCCUUCCUGGGUGGUAUGAUGGCUGCGUGGUCCCACGGUAUUUAUACUUCCAUACUAUUGUUUGUACAGCUGAACGUGGUACCUUCAGGCAUUUGGAAAUUGUUCCCAAGGAUGAACCAGACUUGUGGAGGUCUACUUUUUUUUCUGAGGUCUUGGCUGAUUUCUUUUGAUUUUCCCAUGAUGUCAAGCAAAGAGGCACUGAGUUUGAAGGUAGGCCUUGAAAUACAUCCACAGGUACACCUCCAAUUGAAUCAAAUUAUGUCAAUUUUGCUAUUUUGCUAUCAGAAGCUUCUAAAGCCAUGAUAUAAUUUUCUGGAAUUUUCCAAGCUGUUUAAAGGCACAGUCAACUUAGUGUAUGUAAACUUCUGACCCACUGGAAUUGUGAUUAAGUGAAAUAAUCUGUCUAUAAACAAUUGUUGGAAAAAUUACAUGCACAAAGUAGAUGUCCUAAUUGACUUGCCAAAACUAUAGUUUGUUAACAAGAAAGUUGUGGAGUGGUUGAAAAAUGAGUUUAAAUGACUCCAACCUAAGUGUAUGUAAACUUCCGACUUGAACUGUAACUAGAGGACUUUAGAUGAAAACAAGUAUUGUGCAUGUUUUAAUGUAGUUAGUAGACUCAACACUGACUACAGACUCUCUGCUUAGAGUUCACUCCUGCAAUGCACUAUCGAUGUGUUGUUGUUUCACAGGUAGCUAGGAACAGUUGUUAUAUGGGUGAUGGCUGUUGAACUGGCUUAAUACCCCCCCCCGCACCAUGUUGACCCCACAGUUGGGUCAAGUUGUCUGGAUGUCAUUUGGGUGGUGGACCAUUCUUGAUACACACAGGAAACUGUUGAGCGUGGAAAAACCCAGUUGCGUUGCCAUUCUUGACACAAACUGGUGCGCCUGGCACCUACUACCAUACCCCGUUCAAAGGGCUCGUAAUGGCUGAAAUGGAGCAUCCUACACAGCAAGGAGUCUGCAGGAUGAUAGGCUAUUGCACAUUGGUCCUGUGUCUCAUGCCACAGAUGACAUGGGCUCAAGUGAGCUACAUGCAAGGGGAUCCCGAAACCCUACACGUCAACAAAGUGCUCCAUAAGUCCCUUAGUGUGGGAGAAGUGCAUGAUGGAGAUCAGAUGACAGAGUCCCUGUAUGAAAUCAAAUUCUGGGAGAAUACAGAAAAAAAAGUCACUGCCAGCUAAGUCUAACAGAGAAAGAGGUAUUUGCGUUCGGACAAAAUACACACAACUUCACAGUACAUUGCAUAAGGAUCAGUCGGUCGUUCUUCAGUUCUAUCUCCCUUUACAUCCCAGUACAGGCCCAUGGCUUAGCCCAGAUACAUGUCGACGUGCUCUCACUGUGUGUGUCUGUCUGUGUCUUUAAUGUGUAUGGAGGUGUCCAGGUGGACACACCUGGACUUCUACAUCAUGUACAACGGCGACUCUGUGAUCUUUGCCAACAUCUCAGUGAAGGACUCCAAGCCAGUUUCAAUUACAAUAAAACUUUU